AGCUCCAAUAGCGUAUAUUAAAGUUGUUGCAGUUAAAAAGCUCGUAGUUGGAUUUCUGGUAGGAGUGACCGUUCCGAACUUGAUUGUUCGUGUAUUGUGUUUUCUCCAGCCAUCCUUGUGGAGAACUUUUCUUGCAUUAAUUUGUAGGGAUUGGGACCCGCAUCGUUUACUGUGAAAAAAUUAGAGUGUUUAAAGCAGGCAAUCGCUUGAAUACAUUAGCAUGGAAUAAUAAGAUAGGACUUUGGUACUAUUUUGUUGGUUUGCAUACCAAAUUAAUGAUCAACAGGAACAGUUUGAGGAUAUUCGUAUGAACAUGUCAGAGGUGAAAUUCUUGGAUUUUGAUCAGACGAACUACUGCGAAAGCAUUUAUCAAGGAUGUUU
rnacentral:rRNA from 1 species